UACGUAGGGUGCGAGCGUUGUCCGGAAUUAUUGGGCGUAAAGCGCACGUAGGCGGCUUCUUAAGUCAGGGGUGAAAUCCUGGAGCUCAACUCCAGAACUGCCUUUGAUACUGAGGAGCUUGAGUCCGGGAGAGGUGAGUGGAACUGCGAGUGUAGAGGUGAAAUUCGUAGAUAUUCGCAAGAACACCAGUGGCGAAGGCGGCUCACUGGCCCGGUACUGACGCUGAGGUGCGAAAGCGUGGGGGAGCAAACAGG
rnacentral:rRNA from 1 species